GACACGGCCCACACACCUACGGGUGGCAGCAGUUGGGAAUCUUGCACAAUGGGGGAAACCCUGAUGCAGCGACGCCGCGUGGAGGAUGAAGGGUCUAGGCCUGUAAACUCCUUUUAUGGGGAAAGACUUAGGACGGUACCCCAUGAAUAAGGACCGGCUAACUACGUGCCAGCAGCCGCGGUAAGACGUAGGGUCCAAGCGUUAUCCGGAUUUACUGGGCGUAAAGCGCGCGUAGGCGGUCUGUUAAGUGCACAAGCGAAAGCUCCGGGCUCAACUCGGAAAUUGCUUUGCAUACUGGCAGGCUGGAGGGACGCAGAGGUCUGUGGAAUUCCUGGUGUAACGGUGAAAUGUGUUGAUAUCAGGAGGAACACCCAUGGCGAAGGCAGCAGACUGGGCGUUUCCUGACGCUGAGGCGCGAAAGCGUGGGUAGCAAACAGGAUUAGAUACCCUGGUAGUCCACGCCCUAAACGAUGGAUACUAGGCGUAGGAGGUAUCGACCCCUCCUGUGCCGCAGCAAACGCAUUAAGUAUCCCGCCUGGGGAGUACGGCCGCAAGGUUGAAACUCAAAUGAAUUGACGGGGACCCGCACAAGCGGUGGAGCAUGUGGAUUAAUUCGAUACUAACCGAAGAACCUUACCCACUCUUGACAUUGAAGGAAAGCUCUAGAGAUAGAGCCCUCUCUCACAAGGAGACCUGAAAACAGAUGUUGCAUGGCUGUCGUCAGCUCGUGCCGUGAGGUGUACGGUUAAGUCCGCCAACGAGCGCAACCCUCGUUCUGUGUUACCAGCGAGUAAUGUCGGGCACUCACAGGAGACCGCCGGUGUAAGCCGGAGGAAGGUGGGGAUGAUGUCAAGUCAGCAUGGCUCUUACGAGUGGGGCUUCACACAUGCUACAAUGGGCGCAACAAAGGGCAGCGAUACCGCGAGGUGGAGCAAAUCCCAAAAAUACGUCCUCAGUUCAGAUUGCAGUCUGCAACUCGACUGCAUGAAGGCGGAAUCGCUAGUAAACGCAGGUCAGCUAUACUGCGUUGAAUACGUUCCCGGGUCUUGUACACACCGCCCGUCAAGUCACUUGAAUUGUCUUCACCCGAAGUCCGUUGCCUAACCCGCAAGGGAAGGAGCGGCCGAAGGUGAGGGGGGUAAGAGGGACUAAGUCGUAACAAGGUACCCGUACCGGAAGGUGUGGGUG
rnacentral:rRNA from 1 species